rnacentral:rRNA from 1 species
ACGAGGAUAACCUCGGGAAACUGAGAAUAAUACUCGAUAGAUCAUUAUGCCUGGAACGGUUUAUGGUUAAAAUGAAUUUCGCCAUAGGAUGGGACUGCGGUCUAUCAGCUUGUUGGUGAGGUAAUGGCCCACCAAGGCUAUUACAGAUACGGGCUCUGAGAGGAGAAGCCCGGAGAUGGGUACUGAGACACGGACCCAGGCCCUAUGGGGCGCAGCAGGCGAGAAAACUUUGCAAUGUGCGAAAGCACGACAAGGUUAAUCCGAGUGAUUCCUGCUAAAGGAAUCUUUUGUUAGUCAUAAUACCACUAAUGAAUAAGGGGUGGGCAAGUUCUGGUGUCAGCCGCCGCGGUAAAACCAGCACCUCAAGUGGUCAGGAUGAUUAUUGGGCCUAAAGCAUCCGUAGCCGGCUCUGUUAGUUUUCGGUUAAAUCUAUAUGCUCAACAUAUAGGCUGCCGGGAAUACUACAAAGCUAGGAAGUGGGAGAGGUAGACGGUACUCCGUAGGAAGGGGUAAAAUCCUUUGAUCUAUGGAUGACCACCAGUGGCGAAGGCGGUCUACCAGAACAUGUUCGACGGUGAGGGAUGAAAGCUGGGGGAGCAAACCGGAUUAGAUACCCGGGUAGUCCCAGCUGUAAACUAUGCAAACUCAGUGAUGCAUUGGCUUGUGGCCAGUGCAGUGCCGCAGAGAAGUCGUUAAGUUUGCCGCCUGGGAAGUACGUACGCAAGUAUGAAACUUAAAGGAAUUGGCGGGGGAGCACCACAAGGGGUGAAGCCUGCGGUUCAAUUGGAGUCAACGCCGGG